GGAAUAUUGGACAAUGGGCGAAAGCCUGAUCCAGCCAUGCCGCGUGUGUGAAGAAGGUCUUCGGAUUGUAAAGCACUUUAAGUUGGGAGGAAGGGCAGUACAUUAAUACUGUGCUGUUUUGACGUUACCGACAGAAUAAGCACCGGCUAACUCUGUGCCAGCAGCCGCGGUAAUACAGAGGGUGCAAGCGUUAAUCGGAAUUACUGGGCGUAAAGCGCGCGUAGGUGGUUCGUUAAGUUGGAUGUGAAAUCCCCGGGCUCAACCUGGGAACUGCAUUCAAAACUGUCGAGCUAGAGUAUGGUAGAGGGUGGUGGAAUUUCCUGUGUAGCGGUGAAAUGCGUAGAUAUAGGAAGGAACACCAGUGGCGAAGGCGACCACCUGGACUGAUACUGACACUGAGGUGCGAAAGCGUGGGGAGCAAACAGGAUUAGAUACCCCUG
rnacentral:rRNA from 1 species